GAUGAACGCUGGCGGCGUGCUUAACACAUGCAAGUCGAACGAUGAAGCCCCUCUUUCUGGGUGGAUUGGUGGCGAACGGGUAAGUAACACGUGAGUAACCUGCCCCUAACCCUCGGCUACUCCUUGGCAACUUGGUCGAGUACCGAAUACGAGCUUUCCUCGCAUGGUGGGUGUUUGGAAGUUUUAACGGUUUUGGAUGGGCUGGCGGCCUAUCAGCGUGUUGGUGAGGUAUUGGCUGACUAAGGCCCUGCCGGGUGGCCGGCCGGAGAGGGUGCUCGGCACAACUGGGACUGCGACACGGGCCAGAAUCCUGCGGGAGGGAGCAGUGGGGGAUAGUGCAAUAUGGGCGCAAGCCGGAUGCAGCGACGCCGCGUGAGGGAUGAAGGUCUUCGGGUUGUAAACCUCGUUCAGUAGGGAAGAAGCGAAAGUGACGGUACCUGGAGAAGAAGCACCGGCUAACUACGUG
rnacentral:rRNA from 1 species